CUUUCCCAUUUCAUUUUGCAAUAGCCCUAACUCCUUCAGCCGCGCUCUCUCCUUCCAUCACAGCUCUCUCUCCUUCCAUCACCGGUCUCGCCCUUCCAUCACCGGUGGUUUAGAGAGAUAAAGUCAUUGCUACUCCACACACAAAGAGAGAAAGAGUCGUCGUUGGGGGUUUCCAAAACCUCGUUUACACUAACAGAUCGGACGAGAAUUUUUUUAGGACUGUCGGCAGACGACUCUCUUCGCGAAAGCCCUAGCUCCUUGCCCCCAACCACUGGACAUCGCGAAAGCCUUGGAUAGCUCAUUGACUCCUCCUUAAAGCUUUCUGAAGUCUAGACAGAUUAAGGAAAAAGAAGGGGUUCAGCUUUCUCGUGCAGAUUUAUUCAUAGGCACAAAUACAAAUAAGGAUGGUAAUGUUAUUGAUGUUGUUGCUUCAGAGAUGAUUGCUUUAACAUUUACAUCUGAAUCUACAAGCCCUCAAUCUCUUUCUCUCACGCACAACAUCUGCAAUUAAUUAGUCUCUUCAUGUUUGUCAUUCCAUGAGUUAGAGAAAAGGUCAAACUCAAAGAAAGCAAAGAAGAUGAGGACGGUGAAAGGGAUGAGGAUCCUGCUAUUCGCUUGUACAAGGACACACAUUUUAAGGAACAAAGUAGAUGGGCACACGAGAAAGCUAAGAGGAAUUUUGGCAAUAAAGUUAAAAUGAGCUAAGAACGGUUCAUUAAAGUCUUUUUGGAGUCAAGCAAAGACAAUUGGAUAAAGCUUAGAAAAUGUCAAAAAGAGGCCGCAACCCUUUGUUCGUAUAGUGCGCUCAUCCUUCAAAAAUGACCAAUUUUACCUUUUUUCGGGCCUUUGAUGAUGUUCCCAAUUAUCAAGAAGCAAACCGAUUAGCCCGGGGGCUAAAUGGAGUUAAACGGGGCUUAAAAAAGAUUUCUAGCACUAGGAGAUCGAUCCCCUACAAUUGGCAGAAAGGUGUAAAAAAAUACCCCCUGGGGAUCGAUCCCCAAGGCUGGGGGAUCGAUCCCCAAGCCCCUGGCAGCAUUACGGGAUUUAUCUUUUACUUGGCUACCGGAUUUUAUUAUUUGGGCUUAUUUUUUUGUAACUUAUGGGCUUUAAUAGAGUUUGUUACUUAAGGGAAACAAGCCCAUUAUUUUUAGGGUUAGUUUUUCAUUAGUUUGGAGAGAGUUUUGUUUUUAUCAUUAUUAAGUUUUAUUUUCUGUACCAAAGAUAUCACGUUCUCUCUGGGAGAGGAGAAAACUAGGGUUUGAAGAACAUUUGACAGAGGCUCUGUCUACAAUUGAAGGAAGAAGAAGAAGGAGCCAAAAGAUGGAGAUGGAGCUUGUUGACACCAUGUUCAUCUUCUCCAUGAGAUAGUUCUUCACUUAGGGCUUGGAUGAGCCCUAAGUUCAUGUAACCUAAACCUUUGUAUUUCUUUUCUUGGGGAAUUAAGAUGUUGUAAUUAACUGUAUGGCCUUGUGAUUUCUUUAUAUAUACAUGCUUGAUUUGACAAA